rnacentral:pre_miRNA from 1 species
UUAACUCAACUUUGUAAGGGAUUGGAACGUUUGCCUACGGCUGCCGCUAGGGGCGCUGUUCCAACUCCAUACUUUGAGUUA